CCUACGGGUGGCAGCAGUGGGGAAUAUUGGACAAUGGGCGAAAGCCUGAUCCAGCCAUGCCGCGUGUGUGAAGAAGGCCUUCGGGUUGUAAAGCACUUUCAGUGGGGAAGAAAGCCUUGGGGCUAAUACCCUCGAGGAAGGACAUUACCCACAGAAGAAGCACCGGCUAACUCCGUGCCAGCAGCCGCGGUAAUACGGAGGGUGCGAGCGUUAAUCGGAAUUACUGGGCGUAAAGCGCGCGUAGGCGGUCUGAUAAGCCGGUUGUGAAAGCCCCGGGCUCAACCUGGGAACGGCAUCCGGAACUGUCAGGCUAGAGUGCAGGAGAGGAAGGUAGAAUUCCCGGUGUAGCGGUGAAAUGCGUAGAGAUCGGGAGGAAUACCAGUGGCGAAGGCGGCCUUCUGGACUGACACUGACGCUGAGGUGCGAAAGCGUGGGUAGCAAACAGGAUUAGAUACCCUGGUAGUC
rnacentral:rRNA from 1 species